rnacentral:tRNA from 4 species
GCCAGCGUAGCUCAGCGGUAGAGCAGAGAUUUCAUAAGUCUAAGGUCACUGGUUCGAUCCCAGUCGCUGGCA